rnacentral:rRNA from 1 species
UACAGAGGGUGCGAGCGUUAAUCGGAAUUACUGGGCGUAAAGAGCGCGCAGGCGGUCGUUCAAGUCGCGUGUGAAAGCCCCCGGCUCAACUGGGGAGGGUCACGCGAUACUGAUCGACUCGAAGGCAGGAGAGGGUAGUGGAAUUCCCGGUGUAGUGGUGAAAUGCGUAGAUAUCGGGAGGAACACCUGUGGCGAAAGCGGCUCACUGGACCAUAACUGACGCUGAUGCACGAAAGCUGGGGGAGCAAACAGG